CUUUCAAGAGUUGUACAAGGCAACUCUCAUUUCUUCAUACAACAAAUUGUAAGUGAAGAAUCAUGGCACAUUAAGUGUCCAUGCCUUUGUGCUUUCUUCUCAAGUUCUUUGUUCAUUUAACAAAGAAACAAGCACUAAGUGUUUGCAUUGACUAAGGGUUGUUCAAAGCAACUAUUAUUUCUUCAUACAACAAUUUGUAAGUGAAGAA
rnacentral:lncRNA from 1 species